rnacentral:rRNA from 1 species
CUGUAAUUGGAAUGAGUACACUUUAAAUCCUUUAACAAGGACCUAUUGGAGGGCAAGUCUGGUGCCAGCAGCCGCGGUAACUCCAGCUCCAAUAGCGUAUAUUAAAGUUGUUGCGGUUAAAACGUUCGUAGUUGAAAUUGUGCUUCAUGCGGGUAGUACAACUAUAAUUGUAGUUUGUACUGUACCUUAUGUAUGUAAGCGUAUUACCGGUGGAGUUCUUAUGUGUAAAUACUCUAUUUUCCUCCUAUUUAAACCUGCUUCAGUGCUCUUCAUCGAGUGUUGUUGUGGGCCGGUACAAUUACUUUGAACAAAUUAGAGUGCUUAAAGCAGGCUCCAAAUGCCUGAAUAUUUUGUGCAUGGAAUAAUGAAAUAAGACCCCUGUUCUACUUUCAUUGGUUUUUAGAUCAAGAGGUAAUGAUUAAUAGAAGCAGUUUGGGGGCAUUAGUAUUACGACGCGAGAGGUGAAAUUCUUGGACCGUCGUAAGACUAACUUAAGCGAAAGCAUUUGCCAAAGAUGUUUUCAUUAAUCAAGAACGAAAGUUAGAGGUUCGAAGGCGAUCAGAUACCGCCCUAGUUCUAACCAUAAACGAUGCCAGCUAGCAAUUGGGUGUAGCUACUAUCAUGGCUCUCUCAGUCGCUUCCCGGGAAACCAAAGCUUUUGGGCUCCGGGGGAAGUAUGGUUGCAAAGCUGAAACUUAAAGGAAUUGACGGAAGGGCACCACCAGGAGUGGA